rnacentral:lncRNA from 1 species
UAUAAAAUGAGAUCACCCAUUUCCUUGCAUCUUGCCUUUUUCCAUCAGCAACAACUCCCAGAUAUUCCUCCGGGUCACCUGGAAGGGCUCCAUCUCUUCUUAAAUGACUGCUUAAUAUUCCAUGGAAGCAUUUCCUGAUGUCCCUCAUUAAGAAUCUUCCAGUGCUCAAUUGAGAAAGAUCACCUGGGCUUUCAUGCCUUCAUCAUCCGAUGAAGAU